AUUCCAGCUCCAAUAGCGUAUAUUUAAGUUGUUGCGGUUAAAAAGCUCGUAGUUGGAUUUCGGGCGUGGAGGUUCGGUCCGCCGUUUCGGUGUGCACUGUCUUUCUGCGUCUUUCUGUCGGGGACGCGCUUCUGGCCUUAAUUGGCUGGGACGUGGAUUCGACGAGGUUACUUUGAAAAAAUUAGAGUGUUCAAAGCAAGCUAAAGCUCUGAAUACAUUAGCAUGGAAUAACGCGAGAGGACUCGGUCCUUAUUUUGUUGGUCUUCAAGGAUGGAGUAAUGAUUAAGAGGGACAGUUGGGGGCAUUCGUAUUUCAUUGCUAGAGGUGAAAUUCUUGGAUUUAUGAAAGACGAACUUCUGCGAAAGCAUUUGCCAAGGAUGUUUUCAUCG
rnacentral:rRNA from 1 species